GAUGAACGCUGGCGGCGUGCCUAAUACAUGCAAGUCGAGCGAACGGACGAGAAGCUUUCUUCUCUGAUGUUAUCGGCGGACGGGUGCUUCACACGUGGUUAACCUACCUAUAAGACUGGGGUAACUUCGGGGAACCGGAUCUUAUACCCGAUAAUAUUUUGAACCUCAUUGUUCCAAAGUUAAAUACGGUCUUUCUGUCACUUAUAGAUUGAUCCGCGCUGCAUUAGCUAGUUGGGAAGGUAACUGCUUACCAAGGCAACGAGGCAUAGCCGACCUGAAAGGGUGAUCGGACACACGGGAAGUGAGAAAGGGCAGAGACACCUAAGGGAGGAAGCAGUAGGGAAUCCUACGCAAGGGGGGAAAGCGGGACGGAGCAAAGCCGCGUGAGUGAUGAAGGUCUUAGGAUCGUAAAACUCUGUUAUUAGGGAAGAACAUAUGUGUAAGUAACUGUGAAGAUAAUGACGGUACCGAAUCAGAAAGCCACGGCUAACUACGUG
rnacentral:rRNA from 1 species